rnacentral:rRNA from 1 species
GACGAACGCUGGCGGCGUGCUUAACACAUGCAAGUCGAACGGAAAGGCCCUGCUUUUGUGGGGUGCUCGAGUGGCGAACGGGUGAGUAACACGUGAGUAACCUGCCCUUGACAUUGGGAUAACUUCAGGAAACUGGGGCUAAUACCGGAUAGGAGCUCCUGCUGCAUGGUGGGGGUUGGAAAGUUUCGGCGGUUGGGGAUGGACUCGCGGCUUAUCAGCUUGUUGGUGGGGUAGUGGCUUACCAAGGCUUUGACGGGUAGCCGGCCUGAGAGGGUGACCGGCCACAUUGGGACUGAGAUACGGCCCAGACUCCUACGGGAGGCAGCAGUGGGGAAUAUUGCACAAUGGGCGGAAGCCUGAUGCAGCACCGCCGCGUGCGGGAUGACGGCCUUCGGGUUGUAAACCGCUUUCGCCUGUGACGAAGCGUGAGUGACGGUAAUGGGUAAAGAAGCACCGGCUAACUACGUG